ACUUCGAUUUCAUCUUCUUCGUUCAGUCACUCGCCGCUCCCCUCUCUCCCUGUCCGUCUGCCACUCUCCUUUCUCCCUGUCCGUCCAUUAGCAUCACUCAACUUUGUCGUCAGCGUCGAUAAGGAAACAAGCCCUCAAACAAAUAGGAAAAUCUGGAAGAUACUGAAGGCUUGUUUCUUGAGCCCCUGUCCUCAACAAACUCUUCAAUCCUUGUCCUUCAAGAAGUCAGCUUCUCUUUCACUUCUUUAAUGGCUUUCUCUUCUGCUUCUCCUUCUGUCUUCAUCAAUAAAAGCAAGUUAUUUAGAAAUCUUCCUAAAAAUUUGUGACAUGAUUGAUAUACAAGUCAAACCAUAAAUUUCAUAAAAUAUAUACCUGUUUCUAAAUGAAAUCAGCCCAAAACCGAAUCUGGCUUCGUAUAUAGGGAUCUUGAGGUAGAAGGGAAGGGCCAAUGUUCUUCCAAACUUCCUCUGUGUACUAAAAAAUUACCGAUGGUUCGCAAAUGGGUCUUCCAUUGUGGAAGAGUACAAGAACGUUCUUGUAAACAGGCUUGUUGCUUAAAAGUAAUAGGCAGAAGGCUUGCUUUAAUUGUGAAAAAAUAGAGGUUAUGACUAAAAAGAAAUAAAAUUAAAUUGGUUGAAGGAUGAAGUUCUUAGUUCAAUUUGAAAAUUGAAAAAGAAAGAGAGGAUGAAAGAGGGGGAUUUGGAGGAGAGAGGAGAGGAGAGAGAAUAUAAGAGGAGAGAGAAGUGGAAAAAAAUUAAAAAUAUUUAUUUAUUAAAGUCAUCUUGCCACUUCACCAUUUAGUCUAUUAAAUUUAUUAGUAGAUGGACCUUUUAAAUCUAUUCUUGAAAACUAUGACUAUGUCAUAUUUGAUGACUAUUUUGUUUUUUGUUUUUAUUUUUGAAAAUUAACUUUCAAAAAGUUUGUUUUUGUUAGAGAAAUUUGGCUAAGAAAUCAACCAUUGUACUUAAAGUUGCAAUUCAUGGUAAGAAAUAUAAAUGAAAUAUGCUUAAUUUUCAAAAAACUAAAGAUUAUUAAACUUAGUAAUGUGUUAAUUUAAAUUUUAUUUUUUAUAGGAUUCAUUGUUUGCGAAUGAGACUUCAAAUCAAAGUCAUUCUAGUUCAGUAAGAUUGUUAGGAAAAAGAAAACCUAAUAAACCAGCUUCAUGGGCAUGAGAACAUAGAAGGAAGUAGUCCUGAAUAUCGAGGGUUGCUUGCAAGUACUGUAGGGUUAUGUAUGCAUGUGAUUCCAAGAGAAAUGGUACAACAAAUCUAAAAAGACAUAUAGAGAAAUGUAAGAAGUAUAUAAAUAAGUCAAAAGAUUAUGUUGAAGGAGAGGGAGAUUCUGAAAGUAGUUUGAUGGCUACAUCCUUCACUCAAGAAAAUUGUAGAACAAUGUUUGCUUGUAUGGUCAUAUUAGAUGAAUUGCCAUUUAAGUUUGUAGAAAGUGAAAGGUUUCGUAAAUUUUUUCAGGUAUUAAAUUCGAAGUUUAUAAUUCCAUCAAGAGUAACUCUUACAAGGGAUUGUUUUCAAAUGUACAUGGGGGAGGAAAAAAAGUUAAAGAGUGCAUUAACUCAAAAUGGUCAAAGAGUUUGUUUAACAAUUGAUACAUGGACUUCCAUGUAGAUUAUUAAUUAUAUGGUUAUAACAACUCAUUUUAUUGACGACGGUUGGAAUUUGCACAAAAGGAUUCUUAACUUUUGUCAAAUAGCUAAUCAUAGAUGAGAUACAAUAGGUAGAGCAAUUGAAAAAUGCUUAGAAAGUUGGGGUAUUGAUAGCCUUUUUACCAUAGUAGUUGAUACUGCAAGAUCAAAUUAAAUGAUAGAGUUAUUACAUAUUUGGUUAAAAAGUUUAGAGACAAAAAUGGAUUGGUGUUAGAUAGUGAAUUUAUUCAGGUUAGAUGUUGUGCCCAUAUCCUUAAUUUAAUAGUUAGUGAUGCUUUAAAAGAUUUACACAUGCCUAUCAUUCAAAUUAGAAAUGUUGUGAAGUAUGUUAGGUCAUCUCCUACAAGAUUACAAAUAUUUAAAGAUUUUGCUAAAGAAGAUAAGAUGUCAACAAAAAAUUGUCUUACAAUGGAUGUCCCAACACGAUGGAAUUCAACUUUCAGUAUGUUGGACGGAGUGAUUAAGUGUCAAAAGACAUUAGAAAGAUUAGAGGAGCAUGAUCCAAGUUAUUUUCCAAAGGAUGAUAUGCCUAGUAUUGGAUAUUGGAAUAAUGCAAAAGUGUUUGUAGAGUUCCUAAAGACUUUCUUAGAGGUAACGAUAAAGUUUUCAGCAUCUAUGUUUGUGACUUCAAACAUAUUUUUUCAUGAACUAUGUUUGAUCCAAGAAAUAAUUCAUGAAUACUCGUUGCAUAAGAAUGCAUUAUUGAGUCAAAUGACAUUAAGCAUGCAGAAAAAAUUCAUCCAGUAUUGUGGUAUAACUACAAGUGAGAAGACAAAUUUAUUGUUAUAUGUUGCUGUAGUUCUGGACCGUACAUACAAGAUGACUUAUUUGAGUUAUUGCUUUAAUGAAUUUUUGGAGGAAGAAAGUGAAAAAAAUGGACGAAUAAGGUUGAAGAAGCAUUUCGUCAUUUGUGUGAUGAUUAUUAUAUAAGAAUGUCAAUGCCAAAAGAACAAUAUCCACAGAUACAUCAUCCACACCUAUUAAAGGAUUUAGCUUUCAAAGUCAGAGUGAAACACCUUCUAUCUCAUCUAGUGGAUCGAGUGGAACUGGAUCUUAUAAGGUACGUAUUGUGGUUCAUGGUAGAUUUAAACAAAUUAAUAAAACAAAUCUAGAUAAUGCUAAAACAGAGGUGGCUUGUUAUCUAGAUAGGCUCGUAUAGAGAUGCUAAUCGAUUUAAGAUUAUUAGCCAAGUAGCCAGGGAUAUCUACAGUAUUCCAAUAUUUACUGUGCCAUCUGAGAUGGCCUUUAGCACUAGAGAAUGGGUGUUAGAUUCUUUUCAAAGUUCAUUAACUCCUCAAACUAUAGAGGCACUCAUUCGUGCUCAAAAUUGGCUUCAAUCUAAACCUUUGGAUGAUAUGACUAAAGAAAUUGAUGGAGCUGAAGAAAUUGACGAGGGUAAUAAAUAAUGUUAUCAUAAUGGCUACAAAUUUUAUUUAUUUCAUUAUUUGGAAAUUUUCAUUUAUGAGCUAAUUGUUUUUUAUUUUGAUCUAGAAUUCAUAAACAUACAAAAGGAGAUUGAAGCUGCCUUUGAGAAUUUAGAUUAUAAUUCUACGGUUAGUGUUGAAGUAUGAUGAUGCAAUUGGAAUACAAGAUGAAGAUGAAGAUAAAAGACUUGAUGAAGGGUUUUGGGAAGAAUUAUAUAGAAUGUUGAUGAAUUUUCCUUUUCCCCUUUAAACAAAUUUGUUUUCAUUUUACAAAACUUGUAUUUCUUCUCUUUCAAUUUGUGUUGUUGAUAAUUUUUUGUG